AUAGCGUAUAUUAAAGUUGUUGCAGUUAAAAAGCUCGUAGUUGGAUUUCAAGAGUCGCAGUGUGUCCUCACACUGCUCUCUAUCAGUCAUUGACUGUUACUGUGAGAAAAUUAGAGUGUUUCAAGCAGGCUAUUGCAGGAAUACAUUAGCAUGGAAUAACGAAUGUCUAGAAUCUUGGUUAAUUCUAGAUGAAGAUUAAUAGGGACAGUUGGGGGCAUUAGUAUUUAAUUGUCAGAGGUGAAAUUCUUGGAUUAUUUAAAGACUAACGUAUG
rnacentral:rRNA from 1 species